UAAGGAAUGUUGGACAAUGGAGGCAACUCUGAUCCAGCCAUGCCGCGUGAAGGAAUAAGGCCCUAUGGGUUGUAAACUUCUUUUAGACGGGACAAAACCCCUUUACGUGUAAAGGGUUGAUGGUACUGUCAGAAUAAGCAUCGGCUAACUUCGUGCCAGCAGCCGCGGUAAUACGAAGGAUGCAAGCGUUAUCCGGAAUUAUUGGGUUUAAAGGGUGCGUAGGCGGACUAAUAAGUCAGUGGUGAAAGCCUGCAGCUUAACUGCAGAAUUGCCAUUGAUACUGUUAGUCUUGAGUACAGUUGAGGUAGGCGGAAUGUGUCAUGUAGCGGUGAAAUGCUUAGAUAUGACACAGAACACCGAUUGCGAAGGCAGCUUGCUAAGCUGUAACUGACGCUGCGGCACGAAAGCGUGGGGAGCAAACA
rnacentral:rRNA from 1 species